CAAUGAGCGCGCGAAGAGCGACCGAACAAUGAACAUUUGCCGUGAGUUUCCGGCCAAAUAUCGAACAUCGAGUGAAUGAAUUGACUGUCGGCGUUCAUCAUUUUUUUUCGCGUCGCCAUUUUUUUUACACGUUUCUGUUUAUUUUGUUAGUUUUGUUAGUUGUAUAUUAUUUAUAACAGUGUACUUAACGUUAAGGUGUUGCUUACAUUUGUUGCAUCUGGGUUUUGGCUUGCAUCUUAGGAUAUAGCACCAUGGCUCUUAGUGACGAGCUGGCUCAAUUAAAGCUCCCUAGGGGCUAUGUAAAGGGUGCAAUAACUCGUGAAGAAAGUUUUUGUAACAGCGAAGAAAUUGUGAUCGCGUCUAGUGAGUUGCUCACAGAGCGGCGCAGUCGCUUGGCGAAAAACUUUGCCUCUUACGAGGACCUUAACAAGAGUAUUUUGUGCAUAAAUCCAAAGGACGAAGAAGACCCUUUUGUGUAUGAAAGAAUUCAUAGAUUUUUUGGAGUCCAGAGCGUUGGCCAGGGAGAAUGCAAUGGAAACAAUGCCUGUGAGUACUCCCAGUGGUGUGAAGCCUGGCAAGCCUGCAUGUAAUACAGCAGCAGCAGUCUCAUGUGCUUCAGAGGGAAUCACUGCCUCUAACGCCGCAAGGUCCCUACCUGGUUAGUACCAGCCUAGGUUAUAUUGUAGCAGGCAGCCUACCAGUAUCUGUUGGAAACAUCCAUUCAUCAAAUUUGUGUAUAACAGUUCAAGGUACCCCCCAUAAUAUUUCUCAUAAUUCUCAUAAUGAUCAUCUUGAUAGUAUUGAACAUACUAUUUCAAAUUUUUGGAAAUGUGAAAAAGUACCUGAAAUUUAUAAGGAAGGUAUUACUGAACAUCAACUAGCUGAGGAAUGUUUUCAAAACUCUGUCAAACUUGUUGAUGGAAAGUUUUGUGUAGAUUUACCUUUAAAACUUAAUUUAAAUGAUAUCCACAUGGGUAACUCAUUUAAUCAGGCAUUGCAUCGUUUUCAUAAUUUAGAAAGGCGUUUCGCUAAAGAUGAUAAGUUAUAUCAACAGUAUAAGAAGUUCAUUCAUGUUUAUCUUGAGCAAGGCCAUGCCAUGUACUUUGAUAUAUCCAACUAUGAUCCUAGGGCAGGUAAUGUGUAUUUCUUACCUCACCACCCAGUCAUUAAUUUAAAUAGUAAAACUACUCCGGUUCGAGCUGUCUUUGACGCGGGCAUGAAAACCAAUAAUGGUAUUUGUCUAAAUGACAUGAUGCUUAAUGGGCCUGUUGUGCAAAAUGAUUUAUUUGACAUUUUGACACUAUUUAGGAGUUUUAAAUAUGUUUUACUGUGUGAUAUAAAGGCUAUGUAUAGGGGUAUAUUAGUGAGUAAAGACCAUUGCUGCUUGCAAAAUAUUCUUUGGCGAGAUUCUGUUGAUCAAAGUGUGCAAUGUCUUCAGCUACAAACUGUCACAUAUGGUUCAAAGAGUUCUGCAUUUUUAGCAACUAGGUGUUUGAUUGAACUUGCUGAACGGUACCAAGAGAAAUAUCCAUUAGCAUCUUUUGUGUUGAAAUAUUCUACAUAUGUCGAUGAUGUUUUAUGUGGUUCCAACGAUAUUUUAGAGCUUGUUGAGAUAAAAAGGCAACUUAUUGAGCUUUUGAACUUAGCUAGUUUUUCAUUACACAAGUGGUGUUCAAAUAACACUGAAAUAUUAGAUGACAUUCCUAUUGAAAUUCAUCAAUUAAAUAAAGAGGAUUUUGAUAAAACAAAUACUUUUGUGAAAACUUUAGGCUUGUCAUAUGAUGUAACUUCUGAUACUUUAAAUAUGAAGUGUCCAAGCGCUGAAAUACAAAAACCUUCUACUAAGAGACAAAUGUUAAGUUUUAUUAGCAAAUUUUUUGAUCCUUUGGGUUUGGUAGGUCCUAUUUUGGUGCAAGCUAAAUACUUAAUGCAACAAGUCUGGUUUGAAAAGUUAAAGUGGGAUGAUGUUCUCCCUGAUGCUUUAAAUAAAAAAUUUCUUCAAUUUGUUGAAGGUUUGAUAAAUAUGUCUUGUAUAUCUGUUCCUAGAAAUAUCAAGGUAUAUUCACAUAAAAGGCUAGAGUUAGUUGGUUAUGCUGAUGCAUCUAAUAUUGCACAUGGGUGUUGCCUUUAUUUGAGAGUAGUCAGAGAUGAUAACACUGUAAAUGUUAACCUUUUGUGUUCCAAGUCUCGUAUUAAUCCUAAGGAUAAAACAUUAACUAUCCCUAGACUUGAGCUCAAUAGUGCUUUGUUGUUAGCCAAGUUGGCAAGAAAAGUGCAUGGUACUUUAGCAUUAAAAUACAAUGAUAUUCCUAUUUACUUAUAUUUAGAUUCAAAGAUUGUUUUAUCAUGGCUUAAGAUUGAGUCUGUAAAACUAACUGCUUAUGUUGCUAAUAGAAUAGAAAAAAUCAAGCAGUUAUCAAAAGAUGUACACUGGGACUAUGUCAGCACCAAUGAGAAUCUUGCUGAUUGCUUAUCUCGCGGUCUUAAACCAGAUCAGUUAAUCGAAAACUCAUUGUGGUUUCAUGGUCCACAGUACUUGCAAAACAGUGAAUAUGUUCAUGAUAAUUCUCAGAUAAAUACUGAUGUUUCUGAUACUUCUGAGCUCAAUUUAAUUCCUUCAACAUGUAAUACUUUAAUUAAAUGCAAGGAAAAUAAUUUGUUUUAUAGUUUUAUACAUAAGUAUUCUAAUUUAAGUACAAUGGCUAGAAUAAUGGCUUAUGGCUUUUAUAGUCUGAUAAUGUAGCUCCAUUGAACUGGCCUGUAGGUAGAAUUGUAAAGGUCAUUCCAGAAAAAGAUGAUUUAGUUCGUGCAGUGGAGGUAAAAACUAGCAAAUGUCCCAUUGUAAGAAAAAGUGUUAUGAAGGUGUGUUCGUUACCUAUUGAUUAUAAUUACCUACUCUUUAUUUGUAACACAAGAAUUACUCUUGGGUUUAGUUUAUCUUUAAUUUCUUUACUUAUCCAUUUGGGUAGUUAUUUUAAAUG